AGAAUCAACGCUGGCGGCGUGCCUAACACAUGCAAGUCGAACGAGAAAGUGGAGCAAUCCAUGAGUAAAGUGGCGACCGGGUGAGUAACACGUGACUAACCUACCUUCGAGUGGGGGAUAACCUCGGGAAACCGGGGCUAAUACCGCAUAACAUCUUUGAAGUGGAAAUUUCGGAGAUCAAAGGAGCAAUUCGCUGGAAGAGGGGGUCGCGGCUGAUUAGCUAGUUGGCGGGGUAAUGGCCCACCAAGGCUUAGAUCGGUA
rnacentral:rRNA from 1 species